AGAAUCAACGCUGGCGGCGUGCCUCAGACAUGCAAGUCGAACGCGAAAGUCCCCUUCGGGGGGCGAGUAGAGUGGCGCACGGGUGAGUAACACGUAGGUAAUCUACCUUUGGAUGGGGAAUAACAACCGGAAACGGUUGCUAAUACCGCAUAAUGCAGCGGCACCUAAUGGUGACAGUUGUUAAAGCGGGGGAUCGAAAGACCUCGCGUCUGAAGAGGAGCCUGCGGCGGAUUAGCUAGUUGGUAAGUAACGGCUUACCAAGGCGACGAUCCGUA
rnacentral:rRNA from 1 species